GAUGAAGAACGUAGCGAAAUGCGAUACUUGGUGUGAAUUGCAGAAUCCCGUGAACCAUCGAGUCUUUGAACGCAAGUUGCGCCCGAAGCCAUUAGGCCGAGGGCACGCCUGCCUGGGCGUCACACGUCGUUGCCCCCCCAUCUACUCCUUCGGGAUUGCGGGGGGCGGAUGAUGGCCUCCCGUGCGCCUCGUCGCGCGGUUGGCAUAAAUACCAAGUCCUCGGCGACGCACGCCACGACAAUCGGUGGUUGCGAAACCUCGGUUGCCCGUCGUGUGCGGUCGUCGCGCAUCGAGGGCUCGAAAAAAUUGCCGGGCUCCGGCUCGGCUUUCAACGCGACCCCACGUCAGGCGGGGUUACCCGCUGAAUUUAAGCAUAUCAAUAAGCGGAGGA
rnacentral:misc_RNA from 1 species